AUACGGAGGGUGCAAGCGUUGUUCGGAAUUACUGGGCGUAAAGCGCGCGUAGGUGGUCUGUUAUGUCAGAUGUGAAAGUCCACGGCUCAACCGUGGAAGUGCAUUUGAAACUGGCAGACUUGAGUACUGGAGGGGGUAGUGGAAUUCCCGGUGUAGAGGUGAAAUUCGUAGAUAUCGGGAGGAAUACCGGUGGCGAAGGCGACUACCUGGCCAAAUACUGACACUGAGGUGCGAAAGCGUGGGGAGCGAACAGGAUUAGAUACCCCGGUAGUCC
rnacentral:rRNA from 1 species